GUGUAGGUAGCCCACCAGUAAUUUAACCUUGACUAGUACAGGUGUAGUUAGCCCACCGGUAAUUUAACCAUGACUAGUACAGGUGUAGUUAGCCCACCGGUAAUUUAACCAUGACUAGUACAGGUGUAGUUAGCCCACCGGUAAUUUAACCAUGACUAGUACAGGUGUAGAUAGCCCACCGGUAAUUUAACCUUGACUAGUACAGGUGUAGAUAGCCCACCGGUAAUUUAACCUUGACUAAUACAGGUGUAGAUAGCCCACCGGUAAUUUAACCAUGACUAGUACAGGUGUAGAUAGCCCACCAGUAAUUUAACCAUGACUAGUACAGGUGUAGUUAGCCCACCAGUAAU